rnacentral:lncRNA from 1 species
AUGGGCACGGGGGCUGGCAGAGGUGGGGGCAGGCCAGGCUUCCCACUGGCCACCCCGGGGGGCACUGGGGUCUCUCUGCAGCCCCGCCCAGGUCCCGCUGCCCGCGCCUCGCCGGCAGUGCUCACCUCCCCAGGGAAUUUGGAGGGCAGCGGCACAUCGGGGUUGCGAACAAUAACCGGCGAGUCCCGCUGCACAGCAGGAACCCUGCGCACAGAGGGCCCAGGGUCCGAGGUCAGGCCAGCAGGUGGGGGCAACAGCAGCAACGGCGAGGGCUGGCGGGAGCGAGAGAAGGGCACAGCAGGUGACACCGCCCGGAAGCCAGCCGGCGUGGAGGGCGUCGGCGUGUGGGACACCGAGUCCACGCCAGAGUCUAGGCUGUCGCUCUUGGGGAAGUCCGGGGUGGCUCCUCCGCCCCCUGUGCCCGGGGCCCCCAGAGCCCCUGGGUGGGGCAGCAGCUCUGUCUUCCUCCGCCCAGGGCUGAUGGGCACGGUGAAGGUCAGGUUGGUCUGGAAGGUAGGUAGGAUGCCAGAAGAAUGGCGCUCUCUGGGGGCGGGUGGCGGUGGGUGGGGGCCCAGGUCUGGUGGCGUCAGCACGCCUCCCUUUGGGGUGCUGGCGCUCAGGUGGCGGCUGCGAACAGCAGUGCGUUGGAUGACUGGUGAGGCAUUGAUGGGGCUGAAAUUGGCAGGGCGGAAGCCAAAGAGCGGCGACGGGGAGGGCGAUGGGGCAGGUGAGAAGGGCGACUGCGUAGACACGGGGGAGAAGGAGGGCGUGCCCGAGCGAGAGCUGCCCAACGACACCAACAUCACGGCCGCCUCACACUCAUCGAACUCAAAGCGUGACAGGUCAGCGGGAGCCACCAGGCGUGGGCGUGAGUCCCCACGGGCCGCCACACUGCUGGCCUCACUGUCACGCGAUGUUUCGUCGCCCCAGUCAAACUCGGUGCUGCCCUCGCGCGCCGCCACGCCCGCCGGCCGCCCGGCGCCACCAGGGCCACUGUCUGCCAGGCCCUCCAUCUCCUUGGUUCGCAUGGACAGGUGGCGUGAGCAGUAG